ensembl:lncRNA
CAUCUACUACAAGAAAUCUAUAUGGAAGGCUAUGAAGAUGAAUCAGCCAGGAACUUGGCCUCAGGGAGCAGAGUCAUGCAAGAAGAGAGACGACGUGCUUAGAAACAAGAGGACUGGGCAGAAAAUAAUAAGCGGAAGGGCCCUGACCCUGCAGUCCAGGUGAGUGCUCAGUCACUCAUUCGUGUCCGACUCUUUGCGAACCUAUAGAGUAUAUCCCGUGGGCUCCUCUGUCCAUGGGGUUCUCCAGGCAAGAUUACUGGAUUGGCUUGUGCUGCCCUCCUCCAGGGGAUCUUCCCCACCCAGGGAUAGAACCAGCAUCUCUUAGGUCUCCUGCAUCAUCAGCUCUGUCAUUUAUUUGCAUAACUCCUUGGGAGAAGCAGUAAAGAGAGGUCUGUUACAUCUUCAAAACAGAGAAGGGCAUACUGUACUUUAUGUCUGCUUGUUCAAAGAGUUACAAUAUAUGCCACAUGGAAGAAAUGAUGCCAUCCUAAUUUUGAAGCUGAUCGCUAAACCGUCAGCCUUUUAUUACAGUCCAUACUAGAGAUUGCAAACUGGUGACCAAUGUGGGUAAACGUGGCCUGCAAGUGGGUUUUGUCUAGCCCACAGUGGUUUUAAACUCUCCCUCACCCCAAUUCUGAAGGAGAUCAGCCCUGGGAUUUCUUUGGAGGGAAUGAUGCUAAAGCUGAAACUCCAGUACUUUGGCCACCUCAUGCGAAGAGUUGACUCAUUGGAAAAGACUCUGAUGCUGGGAGGGAUUGGGGGCAGGAGGAGAAGGGGAUGACAGAGGAUGAGAUGGCUGGAUGGCAUCACUGACUCGAUGGACGUGAGUCUGAGUAAACUCCAGGAGUUGGUGAUGGACAGGGAGGCCUGGCGUGCUGUGAUUCAUGGGGUUGCGAAGAGUCGGACAUGACUGAGCGACUGAACUGAACUGGAUACCCCCAAUUUGUUGCUGGAGACACAAAGAUUUUACAUCUUUGAUUUCAGCUUUCUCUCUUUAAAAAAAAAAUUUAUUUAUGGCUGCGCUGGGUCUUCAUUACUAUUCUCGGGCUUUCUCGAGUUGUGGCGAGCGGGGGCUGCUCUCGGUGCGGUGCACGGCUUCUUAUUGCAGCGGCUCCUCUUGUUGCAGAGCGUGGGCUCUAGGUGCGCAGGCUUCAGGAGCUGUGGUGCGUGCAUGGGCUUAGUUGCCCCAUGGCAUGUGGAAUUUUCUUGGACCAGGGAUCCAACCUGUGCCUUCUGCAUUGGCAGGCGGAUUGUUAACCAUUGUGCCAUCAGGGAAGUUAAGUCCUCAGCUUUCUCUUUAAAAACCAGCAAAAAAGCUGACGCUAAUGAACCCGUGCAGCAAUCAGCUGAAGAGAACAGGCCCCCUUUGAAAAGGCAAAGCAUCCGUCUGUAAUUUGCCUCUGGUACAUCCGUUCAUACCACAUUUCUACUUCUAAUUUUAUUGCACAUUUUGUUAUCUUGGCAGACUACCUGCCCUUUCACAAAAAUGUUGUUUAGCAAGUAAACAAAAUAUAAAAACAUUACAAUUUACACUGCUGUAAAAUGCUGGAAUCAAGCAGCAAAUUAAGGGGCGAGUAGUGAAACCGAGCAGGGCCCUGUGGGGCUCCCUGGUGCCGGGGCUUUUCUGUCUUCAUUUCUUGUGGGCAAGACUCCAGCCUCCAUGGCCUUCCCUGAGUUCCAAAGGGCGGGUUCAAGGGAGGAACUGGUCCUCACAGGAGGAGCAGCCAAGAGACCACCUGAGGCAAGAUUAAAGGGACCAGAGAAGCUCAUCAAGAUUGGGAGACCCACCACCUGAGAGGGCUCCCCAGGUAGCCCUAGUGGUAAAGAACCUGCCUGCCAGUGCAGGAGAGAUAUAGGAUGAAGGUUAGAUCCCUGGGUGGGGACGAUCCCCUGGAGAAGGA